UUUUGUUUUGUUUUGUUUUUUGACAGGGUCUUGCUCUGUCACCCAGGCUGGAGUGCAGUGGUGCCAUCUCAGCUCACUGUAACCUCUGCCUCCUGGGUUCAAGUAAUUCUCCUGUCUCAGCCUCCUGAGCUGAGACAGGCAAGAGAAUUGCUUGGGCACGGGAGGCGGAGGCUGCAGUGAGCUGAGAUCACGCCACUGUACUCCAGCAUGGGCAACAGAGCAAGACUCCAUCUCAAAAAUAAAUAAAUAAAUAAAAGCGUAAUAGGCUCCAAAACUGUUCCAAAUUACUCCUAGGCUUUUUCCCCCUAAAAAUUAUGUGCAUUAGGAGAAAAUGGGAGGAAAAAUGAAAUUUCUCUAUCUUUUCUCAUUGAUGAAAGGUUAGAGAUUGUGUUGUUGUAAAAUACCCUUUUGCUCUGGGCCCCAAGCCAAAAAUAAAGGGAGGAAACCAGGCAAUUAGAUGUUUGAUUUGAUGAAAACUUUUCCUUAAAAAGGCGAAGAAUUUCUGUUACAUGAUUUUAUACAAGAUUAUGACAAAGGCAUUUUCAAAGAAAACAUUUCUAUCUAAUUAAAAUCCAUUGAUCACACAUGCUCCUAUUAGGUUAAGGAUAACUCCUUGGCCUUCCUCCCUCAAGAGCUUUCUGGAUUUCUUCAGUAAUUACAUUAAAAAGAAUCGAAGAAGCCCAGGCGUGGUGGCUCACGCCUGUAAUGCCAGCACUUUGGGAGGCCGAGGUGGGCAGAUCACAAGGUAAGGAGAUCGAGACCAUCCUGGCUAACAUGGUGAAACCCCGUCUCUACUCCUGGGCUCAAGCAAUAUUCCUGCCUUGGACUCCUUAAGUACUGGGAUUUCAGGUGUGAGCCACUGCUCCUAGCUGGAAAAACAGUGCUUUUAAAUUUUUAUUUAUUGAUUGUUGAGAUGGGGUUUCACUCGUCGCCCAGGCUGGAGUGCAAUGGUGUGAUCUUGGCUCACUGCAACCUCCGCCUCCCGGGUUCAAGCGAUUUCCCUGCCUCAGCCUCCCAAGUAGCUAGGAUUACAGGUGCGCG
rnacentral:lncRNA from 1 species